rnacentral:rRNA from 1 species
UACGUAGGGAGCAAGCGUUGUCCGGAAUCAUUGGGCGUAAAGCGCGCGUAGGCGGCCCGGUAAGUCCGCUCUGAAAGUCCAGGGCUUAACCCUGGAAAGCGGGUGGAUACUGCCGGGCUUGAAUCCGGAAGAGGCGAGUGGAAUUCCUGGUGUAGCGGUGGAAUGCGCAGAUAUCAGGAGGAACACCAAUAGCGAAGGCAGCUCGCUGGGACGGUAUUGACGCUAAGGCGCGAAAGCGUGGGGAGCAAACAGG